UGCCAGCAGCCGCGGUAAUACAGAGGGUGCAAACGUUGCUCGGAAUUACUGGGCGUAAAGCGUACGUAGGCGGAUUCGCAAGUCGGGCGUGAAAUCCCUGGGCUCAACCCAGGAACUGCGUUCGAAACUGCGUAUCUUGAGUGAUGGAGAGGGAAUCGGAAUUCUCGGUGUAGAGGUGAAAUUCGUAGAUAUCGAGAGGAACACCAGUGGCGAAAGCGGCUCUCUGGAACGAUACUGACGCUGAGGCACGAAAGCUGGGGGAGCGAAGAGGAUUAGAUA
rnacentral:rRNA from 1 species